GAUGAACGCUGGCGGCGUGCUUAACACAUGCAAGUCGAACGGAAAGGCCUCUGCUUGCAGGGGUACUCGAGUGGCGAACGGGUGAGUAACACGUGGGUGAUCUGCCCUGCACUUCGGGAUAAGCCUGGGAAACUGGGUCUAAUACCGGAUAGGACAAUGGGUUGGAUGCUGUUGUGGAAAGUUUUUCGGUGUGGGAUGAGCUCGCGGCCUAUCAGCUUGUUGGUGGGGUAAUGGCCUACCAAGGCGUCGACGGGUAGCCGGCCUGUGAGGGUGUACGGCCACAUUGGGACUGAGAUACGGCCCAGACUCCUACGGGAGGCAGCAGUGGGGAAUAUUGCACAAUGGGCGCAAGCCUGAUGCAGCGACGCCGCGUGGGGGGUGACGGCCUUCGGGUUGUAAACUCCUUUCGCUAGGGACGAAGCGUUUUUGUGACGGUACCUGGAGAAGAAGCACCGGCUAACUACGUG
rnacentral:rRNA from 1 species